rnacentral:lncRNA from 1 species
AAGCAGCGCUUUAGUACGGGUUUUGAACGCGUCGCGUACGAAACUCAUCAAGUGUAAAGCAGAAUUUCAAGGAAGCAGGACAUUGAGGCAAUUUUCAAAGACAUUUCGUUGUGUUUCCGGUUGCUCUAAUGAUUUACUGUUAUAUGAAAACCGCUUUUGUCUUACAAAUCUACUAAAUAAGUGUGUGUGUGUGUUUGUGAAUAUUUUGUACCGACUGCGAGCAUACCACAAGCGUAUUUAGCGUUAUCAGUUCCAAAAA